GAAUGAACGCUGGUGGCAGACCUAACACAUGCAAGUCGAACGAUUUAUAAAAACUUCGGUUUUUAUAAAGAGUGGCAAACGGGUGAGUAAUGCAUGGGAAUCUACCUAGAAGUUUGGGAUAACUAUUAGAAAUAGUAGCUAAUACCGAAUACACCCCGAGGGGGAAAGUUGACUUUUAGUCUUCGCUUUUAGAUGAGCCCAUGUUAAAUUAGUUAGUUGGUGGGAUAACAGCCUACCAAGACGAUGAUUUAUAGCUGGUCUUAGAGGAUGAUCAGCCACACUGGAAUUGAGAUACGGUUCAGACUCCUACGGGAGGCAGCAGUGGGGGAAUAUUGGACAAUGCCAAGCGACAGUCAUGCCACGUGAGUGAUGAAGGUCUUA
rnacentral:rRNA from 1 species